GCUGAGGGGAUGUGGAGGUGCACUCUGCAUUUGCAUUUCUGCACAAGAUCCCAGGACUCAUCAAGAGAACAAGCCCCAAUGAGAUAUCGAGAGAAGACGAAAUCCCCGAAGUCAAGUGCAUUUCUAUCAGUGUUCGUCACACAGAAAGGUGCCAACACGCCUUUAAUGGUCCCGCCCACAGUGUGGAUUUUAUGAAUGGCUUUGGGGGAUGAGAUGAUAUCAGAGACAGAGAGAGACCAGGUCACGGUGGGUGAACAAUAAUUGAACGCAGAGCCAAACCUUGGGGAGAGCAAAAAGGUUUCAGGAAAGAAAUGAUCCCAAAAGAAGAAGCUUUUAAUCACAGGACAAGUGGUGAGUCACAUGUGCAACAUGGCGCAGAGCGCGAUGACUGACAGGGACAGACAGGAAGAGCAGUCAAGGGGAAAGAGUCAUUCCAUGCAGUCCCUUCGGUCCCUUAACAGCCAACCCUGAUGAGAGUUCACACCUUCGGCGCUACCUGCCGUCAUCGUAUCCCGGGCUGCCAUGAUCAUCAGCAGACAGGGUUACUGUUGUGUCUGUGACAUUUUCCCUGGAGACAUGUUCCAGAUGUGACAGCCGUGGAAAAUAUGUGUCCAACUUUUCAAUACAUGUUAAUGUGUGUUGCUUUAAGUCUACUUAUCCCUUGCAGGUGAACAUUUUCUGUUUAGC
ensembl:lncRNA